GACGAACGCUGGCGGCGUGCUUAACACAUGCAAGUCGAACGGAAAGGCCUCUUUCGGGGGGUACUCGAGUGGCGAACGGGUGAGUAACACGUGAGUAACCUGCCCUUGACUUUGGGAUAACUUCAGGAAACUGGGGCUAAUACCGGAUAGGAGCUCCUGCUGCAUGGUGGGGGUUGGAAAGUUUCGGCGGUUGGGGAUGGACUCGCGGCUUAUCAGCUUGUUGGUGGGGUAGUGGCUUACCAAGGCUUUGACGGGUAGCCGGCCUGAGAGGGUGACCGGCCACAUUGGGACUGAGAUACGGCCCAGACUCCUACGGGGGGCAGCAGUGGGGAAUAUUGCACAAUGGGUGGGAGCCUGCUGCAGCAACGCCGUGUGCGGGAAGACGGGCUUCGGGUUGUAAACCGCUUUCGCUCAGGACGAAGCUUUGUGUGACGGUAGUGGGUAAAGAAGCACCGGCUAACUACGUG
rnacentral:rRNA from 1 species